rfam:Trichobilharzia regenti genome assembly, scaffold: TRE_contig0001363
GUACUGAUGAAGAGUCCCAAACCUGGACGAACAGCUGUCCAGUAC